GCCCCGCCCCUCCGGUCGUCGCGCUGCUGCUCGGCGGGGCGGCGGCGCCGCGUCCCCUCAGCCGGCGGCUCGCGGGCCCGGUGGCGGCCGGGCCCCGCCCCCGCCCCCGCCCCCGCCCCCGCCCCCGGAGGCAGCGACCUCGCUCGAAAAGUGGUUUUGCGCAGCACCGCCAAGGGUUGUUUCCUGCUGCUCUGCAGGGAUUGCACGGUGCCUCGCUGCUCUGUGCCGGCGGCGCUGCGGGGAGGUUGGGCCCUGCACCGCCUUUCCCCCAGGAAACGUGGGAACGCGAGUACAGUGGGAUGGAAAAGCAGCGCCUUCUCAGUCUGGCAGUACGGGGUAAAAAAAGAAAAAAAAUCAUGCAAGUUCAUGGAGCCAGUUCACUGCACAGUCACACAAGUUGCCACACCAGAAUAAGUAAAGGGGUAAUCAAGAAGCAGAAAUGAACAAAUGGAGCAGAGUCUAUUUCUGCCGAAUUUGCCACUGAUGGAGUCUUCUCUUCUGUCGAACUGGAUAAUGCACAGCUUAGCGAAGCACUUACAGAUAUUUCCAGCUGGCAAGUGCAAUAGGAAUACAAGAUGGGGCAAAACUGCAAUCGCAAAUCUAAGUAACUUCAAGAAGAUGGUGCAAGCUGGACUUUAAUGCCUAGUCCUGAGCUAAGUAUUGAAUUUCAGCUCUUCAUAUACAAGGAGGGCCACAGUUUGGACAUGGCUGAGACUGAUCAUUUCUGCAAGAGGUCAGAUAGACAUGGUAAUUUGGGGGGACGAAAAGCAGCCAUUCAAAGAGCAUCACUUCUUGCAGACUAGUAGCAAGGCGGAUAGACUAAUGGGCUGGGGGUAUUUUUGGAAAGCAAAAGUUUCUAAUCACAUUUCCAACAAUGUUCAGCCUCAGUCAGUUCAUAAGAACGAUGAAUUCUCAUCACAAACAGUAAUGAGUUAAUCUGCUUCCCCCAUUGAAAAAGUUGCAAAAAGUAGAUGCAACAUUUUCUAAACUUUUCUUUUUACACCCCAUAACUUUUCAAAACUUACCCCAACCUUUGACAUGUUACAGAGCUGCAUUUUCAUUUUACUCUAUAGCUUACUCAGCUUUUCACAUUUCAUGGCAGAAGAAGAAAAAGGAGAAGAAAAAAAGAUGAAAAUUCAGUAAAGGACAAUCUAGGCAUUAUUUAUUAAAAAAAAAAAAAAAAAAAAAAGAUUGACUCCCCAGCUUCCAUAGCAAGCACUCUUCAACAUCUUUUUAAUUAAAUGCUAUUUUCCCCAGUGUUGAGGAGAAAUUGCCAGCAGUCUCCUAUCAUGCACUAGCAAAAACUUCAAUCUCUAGAUAUCAGCAGCAAUAAUUGAACCAAAAUGUGGACAUCACAGACAUGAUCAUAAUCAAAGAAUAAGGUCAGGUUACCACAUUUAAUCUCAAACUGUAGAGCUGCUACACAAGUAAACCUUAGGCUGCCGCUGUUUACAGCUUCCUCAGAUCUCACAGCAAGAAAAAAAUGGGGAGGCUACGGGAGCUGGCUCUUGUAUUCAUGGCAAUGCUGACUAAUCCUUGCUAACUCACUAUGACAAGUGCAGCUUACUGGCCUCAUUUAGAAAGGUUAAAGCAACUCUCUGGGCACAGGUAGUCCAGGACAGAAACAUUUUGGCCAGACUCUUGAGCUAUAUAAAACAGCCUCUGGGAAGAAGGGGUAUACAGGACUCUUCAUAUGAAGGUUAUUUCAACGGCUGAAAAUUAGAAUUUGCAGUCACAGCAGUGCAUUUGUGCACAAGUGUGAGUACAUACAAACACCCCCUAUGUAUGGCUUAAGGAGAGGUACAGUUAUCUGAGGUAGGAUCUACUCUUGUGCACAGCAAUGCUACGGAUUCUCUUCCUGUGUUCAGGAAAACGAAAGCAAAAAUGUACAAGCCCCCUCGCUUUCUCCAUCUCUAAAGCAAAGUGAUCCAAAUCCAGCCUGAUAAAAACUUCAGCUGAUAUGUUUAUGGGAUUUUGAUCAUCAGUGCUUUAACCCUGCAUGGGGUUGUCAACUCAGCUACUUAAGAUCCUUAAGUGAGCAGGACUCACGUUUAAGUGACAAUUCCCCUACUGCCUUCAACAGUCAAAAUUAUCUGGAACUGGAAGGAACUGAAUUUCAUAGGUACUUCCUCCAUACCGCAGACUUGAGUGGAACGAUGAAACACUAAGCAUCAGGAGGAAGAGGGGGGAACACCUCUGACUCACACAGACCUGUCCCCUACCCUGAGAAAUACAUCUGAUGCAUCUUGUAUCAGAUACAAAAUGAUGGAACAGAUCUAGCUUUUUAACAGCUAAAACGCUAUUCUCAAGCAUUUUGCCAAAAUAAAACACCCCGAGAAGAGAGAAUUGCACGAUUCCUUCAGAAAAAACAACUGUAAAUAGGAAAAAAGGAAAAAAGGAAAAAAGGAAAAAAAAAAAGGGACAGUUCCUCCUCCCUGCCUUCUGCCUGGACGACGUUACUGAAGAAAUGGAACAUUAAUGCAUUGAGACAUCAUACAAUAUACAGGAGAACUGGUUGGCACUACUUGCCAAGUAAUAUUGCUUCUAUCAUGAUUUUUAGACUAUGAUCUUUUAGAGACAGAGACUAUCCCAAUCAUAUUUAUAUAGAGAACCUAUUACAGUGGGGGUUCUGGUCUCACGGAAGACCACCUCAUUGGCCCAAAUACCAUUUGCUACAUAUAGGUCUUACUAUUAAAAAGAUGUAAACAACCUGAAACUACAAAAAAAAAUGACUUCUAGUUUGCAGAAUGACUUAACUCCCACAAUCUUGAUCAAGUCAUGUUGUUCCAGUUCCAGGAAUCAUGUUACAUUAGUUACAUUUCACACCAGCUCUUAGCACCAGUGUUUAUGGACGAAAAAGAACAUAUACCACAAGUACUGCAUAAAGGUUAAAAAAGAAAAAAACAGAAGGCAAACCCCAAUCCUAAUUUUUUAAAGUAUCAUCACUUUUAAACCAGUCCCAGGGGUUCUGAUGCAUGAGUUUGUAUAUUUGAUGCUGUCAGGGCCAAAUCUGGACAUCCCCUUUCUGCUCUGUAGUCAUAAUCCAAAGAUAUUGAAAUGUUCCACCGAGCUAAUUUCCGAAGUCUUUUAAACACGCCUUCUGUUUCCUUUUAUAUACUUACAGAAGGUCUAGUCCUUAUUUAGUUUAUAAAAUUCACAGUUUUCAGAAGGAUUUACCUGGUUGAAGACUAAGUCAAAGAAUAACCAAAUAGUUCCAGAUCUAGCUGUAGCAACUGAACAAGUGGAUUUACUAGUCUUGUGAAUGCAAAAAGCAAGUCACCUUUUAUUACUAAUAUCUUAAAUCUACCAGAUCUCUAACAUGCAGCAGGAAAGAUGAGCAAUUUUCCCUUUAAGAUCUUUUAGAAGAGUGUCACAACUAAGACUGUCCAGUGUAACAGAUUACUUCAGGCUCCAGAUUAUUUCAGUGAAAGGUACCACCACCUACCAUCUGGUAUUAAAGCUAGCAAACUCCAGUUACCUUCCAAAUUACCCUGCUUUGCAGGAGUCAGUGACACUGAAACUUCUCCAUAAAAAACUCUAUUAAAUAAAUCUUUUUUGCUGUUCGUAAUACAACAAACAAACAGCCCCCAAUCCUUAAAGCGGCCUUCCCCAACACCUGGGGAACCCUAUUCAGGGGAACACAGACAGCACAAACCCUCUGCAACACUGCACUGAUGCCACUGUGUCUUGUGCAGGAAGCUGGGACAAACAAAAGGUGAUCCUGCCAGAACAAUCCCCUCACUAGACUGAGCUACCAGGACCAAAGGCAGCUGCUUCCACUUAAAGCAGCACUUAAGACUGUUGUAUAACAGAUUUUAAGGACAGCACAGCAGAGAUUGCCCAAAGAUUAGGAGAAUUAAAAGGAGGUUCACGUCUUUACUUCUGAUCUAUGCUAGAAACUCCUUUACUUUACUUUUUACAAGAAAUUGCCUUGAAAAAUAAUCUAGCAAUAUUACAAAAUCAUGUUUCACAUACUGAAGAUGCUCAGAAUCUCCAGUAUCCAAUCUGCAGUCUGAGAAAGGAACUAACUCUUACCCAGAUAUUUUGCUAGAAACGUUUGAAAGACACAGAAGCCAGGCCUUUGCCGAUAUAAACACUGCACUGACCACACAGUAAAAGGAACUCAACUAAUAAAUGUUUUCAGGAGCAAAAGA